ACGAGAUACACAGAUGUCCACCUUAUUUAUUUACUUACUCGUGUUUUUGCAUGUAAGCUACAAAUGUUAUUUUGUGUCUGUUUAAUAUCUGAUAACAUUAUUUAAAGCAGAUAAUUGUAAGACAUGGUACAAGUAAUGGUAAUGACAUAAUUAUUUAAAAAAAUAAUGACACUGCUGACAUCCUUUAGGGCUAUUAGGGCUAUGGAACUAAGCAAUUGGCUGUUUUUCAAAGUGUCCUGAGUUUUCUGUUCCAAUCUAUUAAAUAAAUAAGGUAUUAAAUACUAUGAGAAAACUGAAGUAUAAAAACAGAAGAAAGACCUAAAUCCAGUGCUAAGGAAUUGCAGCUCCUUCAGUGACUCCUUGCCUGAGUGGGGCUGUUUACACAUACAAGGACUCUGUCUUCUGUUUUACACAGGGAAAGACUGCUGACAACUAGCAUUGUGGGAAUUAUCGAUUACUGUUUAUUUAUUGAUCAAGACUAGUAAUAAGACCCAGAAUGGUAAAGAGCCGACUCUGUCCUUGAAAAUGUUCAGAAGAAGCACCAGUGGUGUGUAUUUCCUCAGGAAUUCAGCUUACUGAGCAUUACUCUGUGUUUGUUUCUAUCCUUCCUGUUCAAUCUUUGUUUUUCUUUUGUCAACCCUAUUUGCUCUGAAUAGUUGAAAAAAACAUCCUAGGGUUUGUUAUAAAGUGGGAUCCUAACUCAUGCUGAAUUAAAAGUAAACUACAUGCCCUGGGUACAUUCAUGACCUUAGUUCUCUUAAAACUGAAAUGGAGUGGAAUCGGUAGCCUAAAGGUGAAGCCUUUAAAUCCCUUUAUUACCCAAACCCUUAUAAUCUCUUUGUUUUUAACAAAGUAUACACAAGAACGGUAGCAGAACUUCCCAGUUAACAUGUCGAGAAAUCUCUACUCAGAUAAGAAUCGAGCUCUUUGGGUUUACUCUUUUUGCAAAAUAUUUAAAACCUAGAGAGAUCAUUUAGAUGUUGUUUAUUUUGAUGACCAGAUAGAUUCUUUUGUUUUGUAAAAGCCACAUGCCCAUUUUGCCUUCUUCGGGAAUUUUUGUUCUAGCACCCUAUCAUUAUUUGCUACCAAACUUCAUAUCUUUUGUUUGAAGCAUCUGAAAAUAAAAGUAGUUGUUUAACUAAUUUUCUCUUGAGCUUAAUUUGGCAAUUAUCAAAUCACAUUUGUCAAUACAACCACUGAAUCAAAUGUGACCUAGACAUCAACAUUUUAAAAAGCCUCCGUAACCUUAUGUAUUAUUUCAAGUUAUAGUAGCUACAAGCAAAAUCUUGAUUGGAUCAAUAAGAAACAAAAAUGUGCUCUCCUCUGUCAUUUCAAAGUCAUCUAUUAAAACAACUCAAAUAUAAAAUUUAACUACAUUGGAAUACAAAUAGAACAGCAUAAUGAGGCUUAUGUUUAGAAAUGCAAAGAGCAUUCUGAAAAGUAUUUUAAGAAGAAUUAAUCUAAUUCUCACUAUUAAUAUUCUUCCAUCAUUUGAUUUUUAUUCUUGGACAUGUGGAUGCUAUAAACAAUACAAUGUAAGAUUUAUAAUGCUUUUUUUCUUUCUUUCUCUCUCUUUUCUCCUUUCUUUCUCUUUCUUCUUUCUUUCUUUCUUUUCUUUCUUCCUUCCUUUCUUUCUUUCUU
rnacentral:lncRNA from 1 species